UGUAGCAGAGUGGAUCUGGAUGAGGAGGACAAGGCCAUGAGCAGGAUUGCGGCCUCCUCCACUCCCAUCAGGACCCUCCGUUUCUUCACCACUUGGAGGUUGCUACUUUUGGUGUUGUUCUCUUUGACGACUGCACUUGUUGCUUGACUGUGACUCUGAUCUUGAUCUUGAUGUUGUUGUUGUUGUUGUUGCUGCUGCUGCUGCUGCUGCUGUUGUGGCGUCUGCGGCUGCGCCUGGUUUUGCUGUGGUUUCUUGGUGGUGUCAAGACCAAGUUCUUGCCUCCGCUUCUUCCUAUACCGGAUCCCGCACGCGUUGCAGAGCGACUGCAACCAAAUCAAAUUAACAAGAUUGCUUAAUGCUCAUCGAAAACGUUACAUAGAUCCCGCGAUCACUAGCUAGUGGCACUUGUCAUUUCUUAUAAAUUUGUUUUUGUGCUGAUUGCUUUGCUCUGUUGAUUGCUGGUACUGGAUAGGAACGAACAACUGUGAUGGAGAUAUGUAUGGAUGCUCCUAGCUAAACAAUAGUUUGGAGCAAUUCAUAUAAAAAAAUGAGAUUAGGAACUAGUAGUACUCUAGUAGGAGGGUAUCAGGGAAGCUAGCUUGCAUUGUCUUCCCCCCAAUUUUUUUAAGCGUUCACACACUAGCUAGGGGGAUUUGGCUGGGGGGUGGGAGGUUAGCACCGUUGCUUUGCUUGGAACAGCUCACCUAACCACCACCACCCUAGCGGGCGGAGCGGAAUCAAUCAAAGCGGCGGCGGCAGCCGACGUGCCUUAUUCGUUAAGCUUAUCAGCCGAAUUUGCUAGUUAUUCAGUAUUGUUUUUUUAUCAUAAAAAUAUCUCAUAAAAAUCAGCCAACAGUAUUUUCUGUCAUGGCUUAUCAGACAAGCGAACAAUUGAUCGCUAGUCUCCUAAAUCCAAAUUACUACCAAACUAGAGCAUCAACUUGCUAUGUGAUGUGUUGUGAUCAUCCCUUUGAGUCAGUACUGUGCAAUAAUCGCCACUAAGAUCGAAGAGGUGGUCGGCGGGGAUCGAUCGGUUGCUCCGAUCGCCUCCAGGGAACAGAGAAAGAAGUGGAGAGAGAGAGAGAGAGAGAGAGAGAGCAGCGGCGGCGGCUAGCUUACCCUGGGUCCCGUCGGGCCGCCGCGCCACAUGGGAGUCGCGGUGGUGCGGCACUCGACGCAGCACGGCCUCCCCGCCUCCGCCACCGGCGCGAUCCCGAUCACCUGAAGGAGCGCGCGAGAGACCAGGCAGCCAGCCAAGGAGAUGAUCAUCAGGCAAAAGUCCAAAAAUCCAAAAAAAAAAAAAAGAAGAUGCUUUCCUCUUCUCCUUAGCAUAUGUAUGUAGUACAAGAAACAGAGGAUAUAUAGGAGAGGAUAAGAGCUGCUGUUGAUCAGGACCAACGAAUUAACCUUGUGAUGCUGAUGCUCGGCG
rnacentral:lncRNA from 1 species